AACGAACGCUGGCGGCAUGCCUAACACAUGCAAGUCGAACGAUGCCUUCGGGUCUAGUUGCGCACGGUUGCGUACCGCGUGGUAACCUGCCCUUAGGUUCGCAAUCACUCCCCGUAAGAGUUGCUAAUACCGGAUAAUCUCUUCGUACCUAAGAUUUAUCUCCUUUGGAUGGGCCCGCGUUGGAUUAGCUAGUUGGUAGUGUAAAAGCCUGCCAAGGCGACGAUCCAGAGCUGGUCUGGGAGGAGGACAAGCCACAAUGGCCCUGAGACACGGACCAGAAUGAGACGGGAGGGAGGGGUGGGGAAUAUUGGACAAGGGAGGAAAGCCUGAUCAAGCAAUGCGGGGGGAGUGAUGAAGGGCUUAGGGUUGUAAAGCUAUUAUACAAGGGAUGAUAAUGACAGUACCGGGAGAAUAAGCUCCGGCUAACUACGUG
rnacentral:rRNA from 1 species